CCUCCUGCUGGCCGCAGGUGCUCUGACGAGGUUGCACUACUGUGCUUUGAGGAGCAGUGCAAUGAUAUUGUCAAAGCAUCCGGGACCAGCCUUGGAG
ensembl:miRNA